rnacentral:rRNA from 1 species
CUAGCCGUAAACGGUGCACGUUUGCUGUAAAAGGAAUCGACCCCUUUUGUGGCGAAGCUAACGCGUUAAACGUGCCGCCUGGGAAGUACGGUCGCAAGAUUAAAACUCAAAGAAAUUGACGGGGGCCUGCACAAGCGGUGGAGUAUGUGGCUUAAUUCGAUGCAACGCGAAGAACCUUACCUGGCCUUGACAUGCAUAUAGUAGAAGGGUGAAAGCCUGACGAGGUAGCAAUACCAGUAUGCACAGGUGC